GUCUGGGCAGCAGAGGCCGUGGGUCGUGCCCUGGCCUUGCAGAAACGUUCCCAGGCCUGGGACUUCGGGAUCCUCAGUUCCCUGGCUCUCCGCCAGGGGCGCUUUGCUCGUUCCCGUUUCCGCGCUGGUGAGCUCAGGGGGCCGGACCUCUGUCCCGGCAGCCCAGGGUCCCCGCCGCCACCGCUGUCUCCGCGGCUGAUGCCUCCAGAGAGAGCAAGUUCUGCUGUUUCCAGACCCGCGCGCAUCCCGGCCUCUCCAGCGGCUGUCCGUCCAGCGUGGCUCCUCCGUCCUCUGCGGUCGGUUCCAUCCCCCUGCAGGCCCCCCAGACUUUCAAAUCCGAAGGUCCCCAGAAAUAAAGGCGAAGACCCUGGCUGGCUUAGCCCACACCAAUCCACAAAACAGUUCGUCCCUAUGAAGAAACCAAGGCAGUCAGAAGUUGAAGAAUUUGUUCAAGUACCUGUGACUUAUAAACACUAGGCCCAGGCAGUCUCCGUUAAGAGCUCCCACUUUUAUCAGUUACAUACAGGGAAGGGGCUUGUCUCAGGGAUCACUCUGCAGUCCCCCCUCCCCACUAAAAGACAGCUUAGCCAGCGCACAUCUGUAAUCUCAGCACUUUGGGGGGGCUGAGGCAGGAGGAUCACCAGGAGUUCAAGGCCAGCCCGAACCACACAGCGAGAUCUGGUCUCAAAAGAACAAAAAGGAAGCAAACAACAAUCCGACAGUUCAUUCUCUUCAUGGGAAAAAAGCAUACCAAAAAACACCUUUUUUUUCUAAUCAAUUGGGAAGGUCUUCUCUCCCUUAUG